UACAGAGGUCCCAAGCGUUGUUCGGAUUCACUGGGCGUAAAGGGUGCGUAGGUGGCCAGGUAAGUUUGGUGUGAAAGCUCGGAGCUUAACUCCGAAAAGUCAUUGAAUACUAUCUGGCUGGAGGGUCGGAGGGGAGACUGGAAUUCUCGGUGUAGCAGUGAAAUGCGUAGAUAUCGGGAGGAACACCUGUGGCGAAGGCGGCCAUCUGGACGGUAACUGACGCUGAGACGCGAAAGCGUGGGUAGCAAACAGG
rnacentral:rRNA from 1 species